GCAAUAUACACUUUGGUUGGUUGGCAUAAAACGAAAUCAACAGCAAUGGCGAGUGGGUGUGUGCGUGUAUGUUUUGRCUGAAAUUUACAGCACUUGCAAAAUGACAUCAUAUAACAGUUGCAAAUUGUUUUGGCAGCAAAUGAAAAAUAUAUAAAAA